GACGAACGCUGGCGGCGUGCCUAAUACAUGCAAGUCGAACGCAGUGGGGACGGGUGAGUAACCCGUGGGUAACCUCCCAUCAGAGGGGAUAACACUUGGAAACAGGUGCUAAACCGAUACUGAUGGAUGGACCCGCGGUGCAUUAGCUAGUUGGUGAGGUAACGGCGCACCAAGGCGACGAUGCAUAGCCGACCUGAAAGGAUGAACGGCCACACUGGAACUGAGAAACGGUCCAGACUCCAACGGGAGGAAGCAGUGGGGAAUCUUCAGCAAUGGACGAAAGUCUGACCAAGCAACGCCGCGUGAGUGAAGAAGGUUUUCGGAUCGUAAAACACUGUUGUUGGGGAAGCGGUAUCUAACCAGGAAGCCACGGCUAACUACGUGCCAGCAGCCGCGGUAAUAC
rnacentral:rRNA from 1 species